rnacentral:tRNA from 1 species
GGGCCUAUAGCUCAGUCGGUAGAGCAGGGGACUCAUAAUCCCUGGGUCGUAGGUUCGAGUCCUACUGGGCCCACCA